rnacentral:rRNA from 1 species
CCUACGGGUGGCUGCAGUGGGGAAUAUUGGACAAUGGGCGAAAGCCUGAUCCAGCCAUGCCGCGUGUGUGAAGAAGGCCUUCGGGUUGUAAAGCACUUUCAGUGGGGAAGAAAGCCUUGGGGCUAAUACCCUCGAGGAAGGACAUCACCCACAGAAGAAGCACCGGCUAACUCCGUGCCAGCAGCCGCGGUAAUACGGAGGGUGCGAGCGUUAAUCGGAAUUACUGGGCGUAAAGCGCGCGUAGGCGGUCUGAUAAGCCGGUUGUGAAAGCCCCGGGCUCAACCUGGGAACGGCAUCCGGAACUGUCAGUCUAGUGUACAGGAGAGGAGGGGAAAAUUCGCUGUGUCGGGGUGAAAUGCGGAGAUAUCGGGAGGAAUACCAGGGGCGAGGGCGGCCUUCGGGAGAGACACUGACGCUGGGGUGCGAAAGCGUGUGGAGCAAACGGGAAGAGAUACCCCGUGUC